CGGAAGGGUGGUAAGUAUUUUCUGUAAGAAGGGCGACUUAGGUCUCCCUGGCAACUUCCUCCAUGAGAAAACGGAGGAAGUAAGCGAUCGAAAAUGGAAGACGAGAGGAAGUUCCUCCAUGAGAGAGAGGUGGAUGCGGUAGACGUCGUAUCGCUUCUCUCCACCGACGAGAGGAACUUCCUCAUCCGGAAUAACGGCGACAAGAACUGUAUUAUUUGAGUUGGGGCGAGCUGGACCUCCUUUUCUUGAGCAAGCUGGUAUAAGUUGCGAAUUCAAGGUUUAUCCUAAUGUUGGCCAUUCUAUCACCACUGAAGAAUUGCUGCAUCUUCAACCGCAGAUCAUGGCUCAUCUGAAGAGAUCUUCAUGAAGAUCAUCACCAACUUCUCUUUGCAAUUUUUCGAUCAUGCUUGGGCUUGGCAA